CAAUAGCGUAUAUUAAAGUUGUUGCAGUUAGAACGCUCGUAGUCGGAUUUCGGGGCGUUCCGACCGGUCUGCCGAUGGGUAUGCACUGGCCGGAGUGUCCUUUUUGCCGGAGACCGUGCCUACUCUUAACUGAGCGGGGGCGGGAGACGGCACUUUUACUUUGAAAAAAUCAGAGUGUUUCAAGCAGGCAGCUCGCUCUUGCAUGGAUUAGCAUGGGAUAAUGAAAUAGGACUUUGGUGCUAUUUUGUUGGUUUCGAACACCGAAGUAAUGAUGAGAAGGGACAGUCAGGGGCACUCGUAUUCCGCAGAGAGAGGUGAAAUUCUCAGACCCGCGGAAGACGAACCACUGCGAAAGCAUUUGCCAGGGAUGUUUNCAUUGA
rnacentral:rRNA from 1 species